rnacentral:lncRNA from 1 species
AUUUGAUUCUUUUUUGUUGAAUCAACCUUCUCAGUUUUCUUGAUUCGUGGCUCUUGAUUCGUUUAUGCUAGGAAUAUAUUUAACCAUAUAUGGAUGAAUUUUGAAUAUUGAUGCUUUAUUACACUACCUUUUUAUGAGAUGACCCAUAAACCUUUACAUAGUAGAAUUCUAUAUCAUUGAUAUCCUUUUUCUAUCUUUCUUUCACCCCUUCAUUUAUCUGUAUAUUCUUAUUGCUUUACAACUAAUAAUCUGAUUUUUUUUUAUUUCAGUUGCUAUAAUUAUGUGACCACAU